UGGGGAAUAUUGCGCAAUGGGGGAAACCCUGACGCAGCGACGCCGUGUGAGGGAAGAAGGCCUUCGGGUCGUAAACCUCUGUCAGGAGGGAAGAAGUGCGGGGAGUCGAAUAGGCUUUUCGUUUGACGGUACCUCCAGAGGAAGCACCGGCUAACUCCGUGCCAGCAGCCGCGGUAAUACGGAGGGUGCGAGCGUUAAUCGGAAUCACUGGGCGUAAAGCGUGCGUAGGCGGCGAUGCAAGUCAGGUGUGAAAUCCCACGGCUCAACCGUGGAACUGCACUUGAAACUGCAUUGCUUGAGUCCUGGAGAGGGUGGCGGAAUUCCCGGUGUAGGAGUGAAAUCCGUAGAUAUCGGGAGGAACACCAGUGGCGAAGGCGGCCACCUGGACAGUGACUGACGCUGAGGUACGAAAGUGUGGGGAGCAAACAGGAUUAGAUACCCCGGUAGUCC
rnacentral:rRNA from 1 species